rnacentral:lncRNA from 9 species
GAAAAAGGAAGCCUGGAGACCCGAGAGGGCUCUCGGAGCAAAGCAGUGCACACCAGGCACAAGCGGAGCAGAAGCCCCACUGGCUGUCCUGACAGGCGGGGCCUCCACAGCAAAGACAAGAAGAGGCAGGGACCACCCUCCCCAGCCCAGGCGAGAGCUAAGGACUGGUUUUUCUCCUCCAGAGCAGGACUUGACCGCAGAGGAGGUAGGUUUCUGGGCAGGCGCUUGGCACAGGUGGGGAUGUGGGCCUGGAGCCUGAGGGGUGCACCAAGCCCCCCAGGAGGCCGGUGGGCGGGCAGGGAGUGACGCUGGCCCUAGGGAGGGGCCCCUGAAGCCCGAACUGGCUGGGAGGAAGGCAUCCAGGUGUGGGCCCCGGUUCCCAGCAGAUCCUGGAAGGGGCCCCAGGGUCCGGUGCGGUGGAGAGUGG